GAUGAACGCUGGCGGCGUGCCUAAUACAUGCAAGUCGAGCGAACAGACGAGGAGCUUGCUCCUCUGACGUUAGCGGCGGACGGGUGAGUAACACGUGGAUAACCUACCUAUAAGACUGGGAUAACUUCGGGAAACCGGAGCUAAUACCGGAUAAUAUAUUGAACCGCAUGGUUCAAUAGUGAAAGACGCUUUUGCUGUCACUUAUAGAUGGAUCCGCGCCGCAUUAGCUAGUUGGUAAGGUAACGGCUUACCAAGGCAACGAUGCGUAGCCGACCUGAGAGGGUGAUAGGCCACACUGGAACUGAGAAACGGUCCAGACUCCAACGGGAGGCAGCAGUAGGGAAUCUUCCGCAAUGGGCGAAAGCUUGACGGAGCAACGCCGAGUGAGUGAUGAAGGUCUUCGGAUCGUAAAACUCUGUUAUUAGGGAAGAACAAAUGUGUAAGUACCUAUGCACGUCUUGACGGUACCUAAUCAGAAAGCCACGGCUGACUACGUG
rnacentral:rRNA from 1 species